rnacentral:lncRNA from 1 species
CUACUAACGGUCCGCGGGUUCCCUGAAUUUUUCUUUGGGGAUUAAAACGGGUUAUAAGUACUUACAAAUAUUCUAAAAAAUUCAAAAUCAGUCUUAUGACCCAUUUUUGACCAAUUUCGAAAUUCCGACACGGCGGUGGUCUGUCUCGAGUAUGCUGUUUUCAGCAGAUUUUGCAUCAAUCUCUGCGAGGAAACACGUUAAGGGGUCUCUGGUGCGGCGGCUUCUCUGACUCACGUUACGGUUGGGUGUUUUGCUCCGGUCAACCUAUAGAGAAGGAAACGGUGAUCACAAUGGUAGAAAAAUUACGUCGAACAGGAAUCGAGAAGGGCCUUAUCGGACGCGUUUUGUAAAAUUUUUCGCGGUAGUGCCGCCGGACUUUGCCUGCAUUUCUAGCCAAUUC